rnacentral:rRNA from 1 species
AACGAACGCUGGCGGCAGGCUUAACACAUGCAAGUCGAACGCAUCCUUCGGGGUGAGUGGCAGACGGGUGAGUAACGCGUGGGAACGUGCCCUUCAGUUCGGGAUAACCCAGGGAAACUUGGGCUAAUACCGGAUACGUGCGAGAGCAGAAAGAUUUAUCGCUGAAGGAUCGGCCCGCGUCUGAUUAGCUAGUUGGUGGGGUAAUGGCCAACCAAGGCGACGAUCAGUAGCUGGUCGGAGAGGAUGAUCAGCCACAUUGGGACUGAGACACGGCCCAAACUCCUACGGGAGGCAGCAGUGGGGAAUAUUGGACAAUGGGCGCAAGCCUGAUCCAGCCAUGCCGCGUGAGUGAUGAAGGCCUUAGGGUUGUAAAGCUCUUUCGUCCGGGACGAUAAUGACGGUACCGGAAGAAGAAGCCCCGGCUAACUUCGUGCCAGCCGCCGCGGUAA